AUUGAACGCUGGCGGCAUGCCUUACACAUGCAAGUCGAACGGCAGCGGACCUUCGGGUGCCGGCGAGUGGCGAACGGGUGAGUAAUGCAUCGGAACGUACCUUUCAGUGGGGGAUAACGUAGCGAAAGUUACGCUAAUACCGCAUAUUCUGGGAGCAGGAAAGCAGGGGAUCGCAAGACCUUGCGCUGAUCGAGCGGCCGAUGUCAGAUUAGCUAGUUGGUGAGGUAAAGGCUCACCAAGGCGACGAUCUGUAGCGGGUCUGAGAGGAUGAUCCGCCACACUGGAACUGAGACACGGUCCAGACUCCUACGGGAGGCAGCAGUGGGGAAUUUUGGACAAUGGGGGCAACCCUGAUCCAGCCAUGCCGCGUGAGUGAAGAAGGCCUUCGGGUUGUAAAGCUCUUUCGGCCGGGAAGAAAUCGCACGGGCUAAUACCCUGUGUGGAUGACGGUACCGGAAUAAGAAGCACCGGCUAACUACGUGCCAGCCGCCGCUGUAA
rnacentral:rRNA from 1 species